GUUGACCUCGGAUCAGGUAGGGAUACCCGCUGAACUUAAGCAUAUCAAUAAGCCGGAGGAAACUU
rnacentral:rRNA from 1 species